GAUGAACGCUGGCGGCGUGCCUAAUACAUGCAAGUCGAGCGAACGGACGAGAAGCUUGCUUCUCUGAUGUUAGCGGCGGACGGGUGAGUAACACGUGGAUAACCUACCUAUAAGACUGGGAUAACUUCGGGAAACCGGAGCUAAUACCGGAUAAUAUUUUGAGCCGCAUGGUUCAAAAGUGAAAGACGGUCUUGCUGUCACUUAUAGAUGGAUCCGCGCUGCAUUAGCUAGUUGGUAAGGUAACGGCUUACCAAGGCAACGAUGCAUAGCCGACCUGAGAGGGUGAUCGGCCACACUGGAACUGAGACACGGUCCAGACUCCUACGGGAGGCAGCAGUAGGGAAUCUUCCGCAAAGGGCGAAAGCCUGACGGAGCAACGCCGCGUGAGUGAUGAAGGUCUUCGGAUCGUAAAACUCUGUUAUUAGGGAAGAACAUAUGUGUAAGUAACUGCGCACAUCUUGACGGUACCUAAUCAGAAAGCCACGGCUAACUACGUG
rnacentral:rRNA from 1 species